rnacentral:rRNA from 1 species
GGGGAAUUUUGACAAUGGGCGCAAGCCUGAUCCAGCCAUGCCGCGUGCGGGAAGAAGGCCUUCGGGUUGUAAACCGCUUUUGUCAGGGAAGAAAUCUUCUGAGUUAAAUACCUCGGGAGGAUGACGGUACCUGAAGAAUAAGCACCGGCUAACUACGUGCCAGCAGCCGCGGUAAUACGUAGGGUGCAAGCGUUAAUCGGAAUUACUGGGCGUAAAGCGUGCGCAGGCGGUUUUGUAAGACAGAGGUGAAAUCCCCGGGCUCAACCUGGGAACUGCCUUUGUGACUGCAAGGCUUGAGUGCGGAAGAGGGAGUGGAAUUCCGCGUGUAGCAGUGAAAUGCGUAGAUAUGCGGAGGAACACCGAUGGCGAAGGCAAUCCCCGUGGGCCUGCACUGACGCUCAUGCACAAAGCGUGGGGAGCAAAACAGGAUUAGAUACCCUGGGUAGUCCACGCCCUAAAACGAUGUCAACUGGUUGUUGGGAAGGUUCCUUCUCAGUAACGUAGCUAACGC